ensembl:lncRNA
UAAAAGGUGGCAUCCUUGGAUUUUUCUUCCUUUAAUGCAAAUGCAUUUCAGUUCAAAUAGGCUUUCAGUGCCCAAAAAAACACUUGGCAACGAGUCCCGUGGCUCAGCUGCACAUCAUGAAGUUCCUUCUAUUUGCUUUGAGCCUUGUUGCCCGAUGACUUUGCUGAAAAUCCAAUGUUUUGUAUCACAGGAGGCAGUGCAUAACCAUUUCUUGUUUACCUUUCAUAUGCCACUCUUAAUUUUGCUGCGAGUGUGUCCACCUGUCCUUGCCAGCCUGUCCUACAGUGAAUGGAUACCAGCACUGGAGUCACCCACGUUUCUGUCCUGUGCUGUUUGCCUGACUGCUGGCGAGAUGCUGGGCUGUGAACAGAAGCACCAGUAAAGCCUCCUGCCGUCCCUGCUGAGGGGCCUGUGCAGCCACACAGAGGGGAAGGCAGGGGUGAGGCAUCUCACAGCCUCAGCGUGGGUGUGAAAGACCUUACAGAUCAAGCAGAGAGGCGCUUUGCUGCUGGCAGAGGCAACUCCUUUGUAUGUGGCAACACCUGCAAGAUUGCCAUGUUUUUAUUUUGAAUGCUUUUGCUGAUGUAGUGUCACUUUUGUGGAAACCAAACAGCUCUGAGGCAGGAGUAAAUUAUUAAUCUGCUCUGAUUUCCUUCCUCUACCACGUCUAUGUGUAUAACAGUUCUGCAUUGAGAUCACACCUGGGAUGCUGCUGCCUUCUGAAAUGUGACGAGUGGAAUCCUUUGGAGUUAUAACUGGUAUCGCGCACCAAGUUCGUCUGUUUUCCUUCUUCCUUAUGGAAAGGUCUCAUUAAAAGACUUCCCCUGCAAAUCACUCGCACAGCACACAGCUCACUCCUAGGGAUUCCCUGUGAGAAUGCUUGCAUUAAGCAUGAGCAGCACGGGGAGGGUAGGUAGGAAAUGAUAAUUCACUUAUUCAGACAGUAGAUGAAAGUACAGUACCGAGAUAAAUCACUUGGGAAAAGCUUCCUUGUAUUCUUUACUAAUAAUUCCCAGGAUCAUCUCAUCUGCUCUAUUUACAGCUCACUGUCCUUAUCCUUUCAUUUAUUUCUGCUUCAACGGCAAAAAUGUUUAACUUUUUUCUGUAGCUGUUUUAUCUGACAGUUUCUCAGCCACUGUGAUAACGACUUUUGUUUUAAGUGUUCCUAUUGAAAUACGCAGUUAUUUUUUUUAAUGCACCGAACCAUGUUGGCCAGGUCUGGGCUCUGCAAAAUGUUGUUGGUUUUUUGUUUUACUUUCUCUAUCUAUUCUUCAGUCUAGAUAGGGUUUCCCUUCAGUCUCCCCUGGAUUAAUGCUGAAGAUGUGAGCUGUCAAAGGGUAAGAGUCUGCAAGCAAAAACGUUACAGCUUUCUGUGUGAUGUAUGCCUGUCAUCAAUAGACAGCUUCCCCUACGUGACAUUGAAUGAACUCAUCCG